AGUGAUAUGGCUCAAGUGGUAGAGCACCAGCUUAGCAAGCUUAAGGCUCUGAGUUCAAAUCCCAGUACCACAA
rnacentral:tRNA from 1 species